rnacentral:rRNA from 1 species
CCUACGGGAGGCAGCAGUAGGGAAUAUUGCACAAUGGGGGAAACCCUGAAGCAGCAACGCCGCGUGGAGGAAGAAGGUUUUCGGCUUGUAAACUCCUUUUGUUAGAGAAGAUAAUGACGGUAUCUAACGAAUAAGCACCGGCUAACUCCGUGCCAGCAGCCGCGGUAAUACGGAGGGUGCAAGCGUUACUCGGAAUCACUGGGCGUAAAGAGCGCGUAGGCGGGAUAGCAAGUCAGAUGUGAAAUCCUAGGGCUUAACCAUAGAACUGCAUUGGAAACUGUUAUUCUAGAGUAUGGGAGAGGUAGGUGGAAAUCUUGGUGGAGGGGUAGUAGCCGUAGAGAUCAAGAGGGAUACUCAUUGCGAAGGCGACCUGCUAGAACAGAAAUGACGCUGAUGCGCGGAAGCGUGGGGAGCAAACAGGAAUAGGUACCCGGGUAGUC